UAGAGUUUGAUCCUGGCUCAGAACGAACGUUGGCGGCGUGGAUUAGGCAUGCAAGUCGAGCGAGGACUAUCUAAGUAGCAAUACUCAGGUAGAGCCGAGCGGCGUAAGGGGCAGUAAUACCUGGGGACGUACCCCUCAGUCGGGAAUAGCCGCGGGAAACCGCGGGUAAUGCCCGAUAACACUGAGAAGUCAAAGGCUUGCCGCUGGGGGAGCGGCCCAGGCGCUAUUAGCUGGUUGGUGGGGUAACGGCCUACCAAGGCGAAGAUGGCUAGCGGGUGUGAGAGCACGACCCGCGCCACUGGCACUGAGACACUGGCCAGACACCUACGGGUGGCUGCAGUCGAGGAUCUUCGGCAAUGAGCGCAAGCUUGACCGAGCGACGCCGCGUGCGGGAUGAAGGCCUUCGGGUUGUAAACCGCUUUGGUCCAGAAGUAAGGCCGAGCAAUCGGCUUGAACAACUGGAGAAACAAGCACGGGCUAAGUUCGUGCCAGCAGCCGCGGUAAGACGAACCGUGCGAACGUUGUUCGGAAUCACUGGGCUUAAAGGGCGCGUAGGCGGCCGGGUUGGUCGUGGGUGAAAUCCCCCAGCUUAACUGGGGAAUUGCCUACGAUACUGCCUGGCUCGAGGGAGGAAGGGGCGGCCGGAACUGUCGGUGGAGCGGUGAAAUGCGUUGAGAUCGACAGGAACGCCGGUGGCGAAAGCGGGCCGCUGGCCCUCUUCUGACGCUGAGGCGCGAAAGCCAGGGGAGCGAACGGGAUUAGAUACCCCGGUAGUCCUGGCCUUAAACGAUGGGCACUAGGUAGUGGGCUCGACCUGGGCGCACUGCCGCAGCGAAAGUCAUUAGUGCCCCGCCUGGGGAGUAUGGUCGCAAGGCUGAAACUCAAAGGAAUUGACGG
rnacentral:rRNA from 1 species